rnacentral:rRNA from 1 species
GAUGAACGCUAGCGGCAGGCCUAACACAUGCAAGUCGAGGGGCAGCACAUAAAGUGGUUUACUACUUUUGGUGGCGACCGGCGGACGGGUGCGUAACGCGUAUGCAACCUGCCUCCAACAGGGGGAUAACGGAGAGAAAUUUCCACAAAUACCCCAUAAUACCAAAAUCGGCAUCGGUUUUGGGUGAAAACUCCGGUGGUUGGAGACGGGCAUGCGUUGUAUUAGAUAGUUGGUGAGGUAACGGCUCACCAAGUCAACGAUACAUAGGGGGGCUGAGAGGUUAGCCCCCCACACUGGUACUGAGACACAGACCAGACUCCUACGGGAGGCAGCAGUGAGGAAUAUUGGUCAAUGGGGGCAACCCUGAACCAGCCAUGCCGCGUGCAGGAAGACGGCUCUAUGAGUUGUAAACUGCUUUUACAAGGGGAUAAAUCGGUGUACGUGUACACCGUUGAAGGUACCUUGGGAAUAAGGAUCGGCUAACUCCGUGCCAGCAGCCGCAGUAA